rnacentral:rRNA from 1 species
GACGAACGCUGGCGGCGUGCCUAAUACAUGCAAGUGGAACGCAUGAUUGAUACCGGAGCUUGCUCCACCAUUAAUCAUGAGUCGCGAACGGGUGAGUAACGCGUAGGUAACCUACCUCAUAGCGGGGGAUAACUAUUGGAAACGAUAGCUAAUACCGCAUAACAGUAUUUAUCACAUGGUAAAUGCUUGAAAGGAGCAAUUGCUUCACUAUGAGAUGGACCUGCGUUGUAUUAGCUAGUUGGUGGGGUAACGGCUCACCAAGGCAUCGAUACAUAGCCGACCUGAGAGGGUGAUCGGCCACACUGGGACUGAGACACGGCCCAGACUCCUACGGGAGGCAGCAGUAGGGAAUCUUCGGCAAUGGGGGGAACCCUGACCGAGCAACGCCGCGUGAGUGAAGAAGGUUUUCGGAUCGUAAAGCUCUGUUGUAAGAGAAGAACGUGUGUGAGAGUGGAAAAUUCACACAGUGACGGUAACUUACCAGAAAGGGACGGCUAACUACGUGCCAGCAGCCGCGGUAAUACGUAGGUCCCGAGCGUUGUCCGGAUUUAUUGGGCGUAAAGCGAGCGCAGGCGGUUUGAUAAGUCUGAAGUAAAAGGCUGUGGCUUAACCAUAGUAUGCUUUGGAAACUGUCAAACUUGAGUGCAGAAGGGGAGAGUGGAAUUCCAUGUGUAGCGGUGAAAUGCGUAGAUAUAUGGAGGAACACCGGUGGCGAAAGCGGCUCUCUGGUCUGUAACUGACGCUGAGGCUCGAAAGCGUGGGGAGCGAACAGGAUUAGAUACCCUGGUAGUCCACGCCGUAAACGAUGAGUGCUAGGUGUUGGGUCCUUUCCGGGACUCAGUGCCGCAGCUAACGCAUUAAGCACUCCGCCUGGGGAGUACGACCGCAAGGUUGAAACUCAAAGGAAUUGACGGGGGCCCGCACAAGCGGUGGAGCAUGUGGUUUAAUUCGAAGCAACGCGAAGAACCUUACCAGGUCUUGACAUCCCAGUGACCGUCCUAGAGAUAGGAUUUUUCUUCGGAACACUGGAGACAGGUGGUGCAUGGUUGUCGUCAGCUCGUGUCGUGAGAUGUUGGGUUAAGUCCCGCAACGAGCGCAACCCCUAUUGUUAGUUGCCAUCAUUCAGUUGGGCACUCUAGCGAGACUGCCGGUAAUAAACCGGAGGAAGGUGGGGAUGACGUCAAAUCAUCAUGCCCCUUAUGACCUGGGCUACACACGUGCUACAAUGGCUGGUACAACGAGUCGCAAGUCGGUGACGACAAGCUAAUCUCUUAAAGCCAGUCUCAGUUCGGAUUGUAGGCUGCAACUCGCCUACAUGAAGUCGGAAUCGCUAGUAAUCGCGGAUCAGCACGCCGCGGUGAAUACGUUCCCGGGCCUUGUACACACCGCCCGUCACACCNCGAGAGUUUGUAACACCCGAAGUCGGUGAGGUAACCAUUUGGAGCCAGCCGCCUAAGGUGGGAUAGAUGAUUGGGUGAGUCGUAACAAGGUAGCCGUAUCGGAAGGUGCGGCUGGAUCACCUCCUUUCUA